GAGUGUCUGGGGACGGGGCCGGGGCGCUGUCUGAGAGGCCCUAUGAUUCUCACAGUGAACCGGUCUCUUUUCCUGCCCCUC
rnacentral:pre_miRNA from 10 species